rnacentral:rRNA from 1 species
UACGGAGGGGACUAGCGUUGUUCGGAAUUACUGGGCGUAAAGCGCACGUAGGCGGAUUUGUAAGUCAGGGGUGAAAUCCCGGGGCUCAACCUCGGAACUGCCUUUGAUACUGCAAAUCUCGAGUCCGGAAGAGGUGAGUGGAAUUCCUAGUGUAGAGGUGAAAUUCGUAGAUAUUAGGAAGAACACCAGUGGCGAAGGCGGCUCACUGGUCCGAUACUGACGCUGAGGUGCGAAAGCGUGGGGAGCAAACAGGG